AAGAAUUUAAGUUAUAAGAAACUUUUAACCUUCAAAGUUAAAUAUAGGAAAAAGUUCCUAAUUCUUA
rnacentral:tRNA from 1 species